rnacentral:rRNA from 1 species
AUACGUAGGGGGCAAGCGUUAUCCGGAUUUACUGGGUGUAAAGGGAGCGUAGACGGUUUGGCAAGUCUGAUGUGAAAGCCCGGGGCUCAACCGCGGGACUGCAUUGGAAACUGUCAGACUUGAGUGCAGGAGAGGUAAGUGGAAUUCCUAGUGUAGCGGUGAAAUGGGUAGAGAUUAGGAGGAACACCGGCGGCGAAGGCGGCUUACUGGACUGUAACUGACGUUGAGGCUCGAAAGCGUGGGGAGCAAACAGGAUUAGAUACCCUGGUAGUCCACGCGGUAAACGAUGAAUACUAGGUGUUGGGGGUCUAUAGACCCUCGGUGCCGCAGCAAACGCAAUAAGUAUUCCCCCUGGGGAGUACGUUCGCAAGAAUGAAACUCAAAUGAAUUGGCGGGG